UUUUUUUAACAUUUUUUUUUCUUUUCAGUUUGACCACGAGUCCAUCUGAGCAAAGCAGAAUCUUUACAACCUGUAUGCAAAUACUUCGUGACACUGAGAAGGCCAGAAGACAUUUAUCACCAUGCUUUUGUGAUGUGUCACAGUCUGUAGAGAAGUGAAUCGUGUUCUGCUGAAAGCUGUAAGUAGCUGUCAGAGAUGCAGAGAACAAGGAUUGCCAUGAAAUCCUCCCACCUGCAUCCUCCUCCAGCCUGUACCCUCACUUCCUGAUGCUGAGUGGUGUCCCCAGCUUGGCCAUGAACUCUAUCUGCCUGUGGUACAC